rnacentral:sRNA from 1 species
UAUACUAGCAACUGCCGAAGACAGCAGGCGCUGUAAAGCGUAAGGGCAUUGCCCGCCUGCCGAGGAGAGUGGGAUUUAUUACGCAAGUAUGAAUUUACAAGCCUCUGUGUCUUUGCGCACAGAGGCUUUUUUAU